GUUUGUGCUGGGAGCUGGUGGCGCGGUGCAGGGCUCUUAAGAACGAACGGCUUGGGCGCGGACUGGUAUCCGGGGACUGUGACUUGCAGGGUCCGCCAUGGAGCCAGAGCAGAUGCUGGAGGGACAAACGCAGGUUGCAGAAAAUCCUCACUCUGAGUACGGUCUCACAGACAACGUUGAGAGAAUAGUAGAAAAUGAGAAGAUUAAUGCAGAAAAGUCAUCAAAGCAGAAGGUAGAUCUCCAGUCUUUGCCAACUCGUGCCUACCUGGAUCAGACAGUUGUGCCUAUCUUAUUACAGGGACUUGCUGUGCUUGCAAAGGAAAGAUGAGGAAACAGACUUGGAGAGGUUAAGUGACAUGCUCAAGACAACAGUGCUGGGUCUUGCUAUGUACGUUGCCCAGGUUGGAAUGCAGUGGCGUGAUCAUGGCUCACUGUAGCCUCGACCUCCUGGGCUCAAGUGAUCCUCCCGCCUCCGCCUACCAAGUAGCUAGGACCACAGGCGAAGCCACCACGCCCGGAUAAU
rnacentral:sRNA from 1 species